UCAUUUUUCACUUUAUAAAAUUUCAAUAAUUCAUUUUAGGCAUAAAUAUAAUAUUCAUUUUACUGUUCAGUGUCUAUUUUGGGGUUUAAACAAUUUUGUGAAAAAAAUUUUUUUUAAAACUUAUAUGUGCUCUUGUCUAGUGAAACAAUAAUUUUAAAUAUAAAAAAGAUUUUUUUUUUUUCAAAACUUGACAGAUUCGAUGUGAGCUACUUUUUUUUUUUUUUUUUU